rnacentral:rRNA from 1 species
AGUGAACGCUGGCGGUAGGCCUAACACAUGCAAGUCGAACGGCAGCACAGUAAGAGCUUGCUCUUACGGGUGGCGAGUGGCGGACGGGUGAGGAAUACAUCGGAAUCUACUUUUUCGUGGGGGAUAACGUAGGGAAACCUACGAUAAUACCGCAUACGACCUACGGGUGUAAGCUGGGGUUAUUGGGACCUUGCGCGACUGAAUGAGCCGACGUCGGAUUUGCUAGUUGGCGGGGUCAAGGCCCACCAAGGCGACGAACCGUAGCUGGUCUGAGAGGAUGAUCAGCCACACUGGAACUGAGACACGGUCCAGGCUCCUACGGGAGGCAGCAGUGGGGAAUAUUGGGCAAUGGGCGCAAGCCUGAUCCAGCCAUACCGCGUGGGUGAAGAAGGCCUUCGGGUUGUAAAGCCCUUUUGUUGGGAAAGAAAAGCAGCAGGUUAAUACCCCGCUGUUCUGACGGUACCCAAAGAAUAAGCACCGGCUAACUUCGUG